rnacentral:rRNA from 1 species
UACGAAGGGGGCUAGCGUUGUUCGGAAUUACUGGGCGUAAAGGGCGCGUAGGCGGUACUUCAAGUCAGGCGUGAAAGCCCCGGGCUCAACCUGGGAACCGCGCUUGAGACUGGAGAACUAGAGUUCGGGAGAGGAUGGUGGAAUUCCCAGUGUAGAGGUGAAAUUCGUAGAUAUUGGGAAGAACACCGAUGGCGAAGGCAGCCGUCUGGACCGACACUGACGCUGAGGCGCGAAAGCGUGGGGAGCAAACAGG